rnacentral:ribozyme from 1 species
UGCCCAGCAACUAUCCCUACCUCCUCGCGGUACUGGCCGGGGUACGAGUAACCUUAGGGAAGAUCGGGUAACCAACCCCCGGUGGUAACUUUGGUCGUAUGCUGACAGGGAAGG